GGGGCUAUAGCUCAGCAGGUAGAGCACCUGCCUUGCACGCAGGAAGUCGGCGGUUCGAUUCCGCCUGGCUCCACCA
rnacentral:tRNA from 1 species